AUUAUGAGAGUUUGAUCCUGGCUCAGGACGAACGCUGGCGGCGUGCCUAAUACAUGCAAGUCGAACGCUUUUUCUUUCACCGGAGCUUGCUCCACCGAAAGAAAAAGAGUGGCGAACGGGUGAGUAACACGUGGGUAACCUGCCCAUCAGAAGGGGAUAACACUUGGAAACAGGUGCUAAUACCGUAUAACACUAUUUUCCGCAUGGAAGAAAGUUGAAAGGCGCUUUUGCGUCACUGAUGGAUGGACCCGCGGUGCAUUAGCUAGUUGGUGAGGUAACGGCUCACCAAGGCAACGAUGCAUAGCCGACCUGAGAGGGUGAUCGGCCACACUGGGACUGAGACACGGCCCAGACUCCUACGGGAGGCAGCAGUAGGGAAUCUUCGGCAAUGGACGAAAGUCUGACCGAGCAACGCCGCGUGAGUGAAGAAGGUUUUCGGAUCGUAAAACUCUGUUGUUAGAGAAGAACAAGGACGUUAGUAACUGAACGUCCCCUGACGGU
rnacentral:rRNA from 1 species